GUGGGGAAUUUUGGACAAUGGGCGCAAGCCUGAUCCAGCAAUGCCGCGUGCAGGAAGAAGGCCUUCGGGUUGUAAACUGCUUUUGUACGGAACGAAACGGUCCUGGCUAAUACCUGGGGCUAAUGACGGUACCGUAAGAAUAAGCACCGGCUAACUACGUGCCAGCAGCCGCGGUAAUACGUAGGGUGCGAGCGUUAAUCGGAAUUACUGGGCGUAAAGCGUGCGCAGGCGGUUUUGUAAGACAGGCGUGAAAUCCCCGGGCUCAAACUGGGAAUUGCGGUUGUGACUUCAAGGCUGGAGUGCGGCAGAGGGGGAUGGAAUUCCGCGUGUAGCAGUGAAAUGCGUAGAUAUGCGGAGGAACACCGAUGGCGAAGGCAAUCCCCUGGGCCUGCACUGACGCUCAUGCACGAAAGCGUGGGGAGCAAACAGGAUUAGAUACCCUUGUAGUCC
rnacentral:rRNA from 1 species